rnacentral:rRNA from 1 species
AGGACGUGGCGGCGUGGAUUAGCCAUGCAGAGUCAAGCGAGAACGUAGCAUACGCGGGACAGCGGCGAAAGGGACAGUAAUAUGUAGGUACCCUACCCCGAGGGUCUGGGAUAGCUGCGGGAAACUGCAGGUUAUACCGGAUAAUGUCCUCGGACCAAAGUGUGUGAUUCCACCUCGGGAGGGGCCUGCAUCCUAUUAGCUAGUUGGGGAGAGUAACGUGCUCACCAAGCGACGAUGGGUAGCGGGUGUGAAGAGCCCUGAACCGCGUCAUUGGGACUUGAAGACACUGGCCAAGAACAACUACAGGGUUGGCUGCAGUCGAGAAAUCUUUCCGGCAAUGGGCCGAAAGCCCUCACACGAAGCCGAACCGCCGGCCGUGCGGGAUGAAGGCCCUCGAGGUUGUAAAACCGCUGUCAGCUAGAAGGAAGAAAAUGCCAGGGGGGUUCUCCCCUUUUGCUUUGACCUAUUCUACGAGGACAAGUACGUGGGCCUAAAGGUUCAGUGCACAGCAAGCCGCACGGUACAGACGAACACCGUACAACACGUUACUCGGAAAUUACUGGGCUUAAAGGGUUGGCGGUAAGCUUGCGGCGGAAAGUUGGGUUGUUGAAAGCCCUCGGGCUCAACCGCAGGAACUGGAAUCCAAAAACUUGCGUGCUCGAGGGGAGACAGGGGUUGGAGGCGGCGAAACUCACAGGUUGGACGCCGCGUGAAAAUGCGUUGAUAAUCUCUGAGGGAAACACCCGGU